rnacentral:rRNA from 1 species
CUUAUGCCGGCGACCGGCGGACGGGUGCGUAACGCGUAUGUAACCUACCUUUGACAGGGGGAUAACAUCGAGAAAUUGGUACUAAUACCCCAUAACAUCACCGGAGGCAUCUUCGGUGGUUGAAAACUCAGGUGGUCAGAGAUGGACAUGCGUUGUAUUAGCUAGUUGGUGAGGUAACGGCUCACCAAGGCGACGAUACAUAGGGGGACUGAGAGGUCAACCCCCCACAUUGGUACUGAGACACGGACCAAACUCCUACGGAAGGCAGCAG